rnacentral:rRNA from 1 species
GGGGAAUUUUCCGCAAUGGGGGCAACCCUGACGGAGCAAGACCGCGUGCGGGAAGAAGGUCUGUGGAUUGUAAACCGCUUUUGACAGGGAAGAACACAAUGACGGUACCUGUCGAAUCAGCCUCGGCUAACUCCGUGCCAGCAGCCGCGGUAAUACGGAGGAGGCAAGCGUUAUCCGGAAUUAUUGGGCGUAAAGCGUCCGCAGGUGGCUCUGUAAGUCUGCUGUCAAAGGAUGGAGCUUAACUCCAUAAAGGCAGUGGAAACUACCGAGCUAGAGUGCGGUAGGGGCAAGGGGAAUUCCCAGUGUAGCGGUGAAAUGCGUAGAUAUUGGGAAGAACACCGGUGGCGAAAGCGCCUUGCUGGGUCUGCACUGGCACUGAGGGACGAAAGCUAGGGGAGCGAAAGGGAUUAGAUACCCCAGUAGUC